GACAGAGGGUGCGAACGUUGUUCGGAAUUACUGGGCGUAAAGCGCGUGUAGGUGGCCAGGCAAGUCGGAUGUGAAAGCCCGGGGCUCAACCCCGGAAGUGCAUUCGAAACUGCAUGGCUGGAGUCUCGGAGAGGGAAGCGGAAUUCUGGGUGUAGAGGUGAAAUUCGUAGAUAUCCAGAGGAACACCGGUGGCGAAGGCGGCUUCCUGGACGAGUACUGACGCUGAGACGCGAAAGCGUGGGUAGCAAACAGG
rnacentral:rRNA from 1 species